GCGGAGGCACGGGAUCGCGGCAAGGGGAUCGCUUAGCUAGCUAGCAAGGAGCGGUACUUUGCCUAGGUGGUUACUCUUUCUUUUGUAGUUGAGAGAGUGAGAGAUUUUGUAUCCAUGUAUAGAGACCACCUGUGUAUCUACUUUUAGUACUUGUUAUGGGAUUCCUAUCGUAUUUACUUUAUGUUUUACUUAGUGGAUUUAUAGUUUCAUCCUUAUUUCUUGUUGUAGCUUUUAGACAUUCUUUAUGCUCUGAUACUCCUAGAUGUCUUUUAUUAUUGCUUUUAUUAUUGUUGUUGUUAGACGCCUUAUGCGUUUUAGACGCAUGGCGGGUCUGGGCACGUGCCGGGCGGGCUUCCGCUGGGUCCCGGGGCGUGACAGCUCUGCCCAACUUCCUACGCGUACGGGGACCGGUCUUCCCCGCCAGGGACCGAUCCCCGAAAGCAACACUCUCAGGACUUAGCCGAUUUUUCCUUCUUUUCGC
rnacentral:lncRNA from 1 species